rnacentral:rRNA from 1 species
UGGGGAAUAUUGGACAAUGGGCGAAAGCCUGAUCCAGCCAUGCCGCGUGUGUGAAGAAGGUCUUCGGAUUGUAAAGCACUUUAAGUUGGGAGGAAGGGCAGUAAGCGAAUACCUUGCUGUUUUGACGUUACCGACAGAAUAAGCACCGGCUAACUCUGUGCCAGCAGCCGCGGUAAUACAGAGGGUGCAAGCGUUAAUCGGAAUUACUGGGCGUAAAGCGCGCGUAGGUGGUUCGUUAAGUUGAAUGUGAAAGCCCCGGGCUCAACCUGGGAACGGCAUCCAAAACUGGCGAGCUAGAGUAGGGCAGAGGGUGGUGGAAUUUCCUGUGUAGCGGUGAAAUGCGUAGGUAUAGGAAGGAACACCAGUGGCGAAGGCGACCACCUGGGCUCAUACUGACACUGAGGUGCGAAAGCGUGGGGAGCAAACAGG